AAAGGUUUGUACGCGGAGAAACCAGCUAUAACCAUGUAUUCACACUUGGACCAGGUAGUAGACCUGGUGGAUUCUAAUAUAACAGAUAUAGAAACUGAUAAAUCUAUCUGGCUUAGGUAGUAGACCUGGUGGAUUCUAACAUAACAGAUAUAGAAACUGGUCAGUCUAUCUGGUUUAAGUAGUAGACCUGGUGGAUUCUAAUAUAACAGAUAUAGAAACUGGUCAGUCUAUCUGGUUUAGGUAGUAGACCUGGUGGAUUCUAACAGAACAGAUAUAAAAACUGAUAAAUCUAUCUGGUUUAGGUAGUAGACCUGGUGGAUUCUAAUAUAACAGACAUAGAAACUGAUAAAACUAUCUGGUUUAGGUAGUAGACCUGGUGGAUUCUAAUAUAACAGAUAUAGAAACUGAUAAAUCUAUCUGGUUGGUUGAGUUUUACACUCAUUGGUGUGGACAUUGUAAGAGGUUUGCUCCUAAAUGGAAACGAUUAGCUGAGGAUAUAAAAGGUUGGAGUCCUUUGGUUAGGGUUGGUGCAAUGAACUGUGCAGUACAGUCUUGUGAUAGAUUUCAGGUAUCCCCGUAUCCAACUGUUAAACUUCUUUAUCCGUUAUGGACUGGGAAGCCAAAAUUAUGGAAAAAGGUAAACAUAUAUAUAAUUUCUAUUUACCAACCACUAUUAGCUUUAUCAAUACAAAUUCAGAUUUUUGAAAGCAAAUUUCACUUCACUGUAAUAUCAACCUGAUUUGGUGUUCUUCGAUAUUGAUAAUCAUAAAAUUAAGACUGUAAUUUUAGUUUAAAAGAACUGUGCAGAUGUAAUUUAAACGGUACUCUUUAAACCUGAGUGCCCUUAAUCCCGAUUGUUAUCCACUUCAUGUUAGAAAAUUUUGUAUUAAAUGCUUAAUUGUGAUUGCCAAGAAUAACAUUUUUUUGCUAUGCUGAUUACUUGAAUAAUGUAUAAGUGUAGUAUAUGCCCUACUCCAUAAGAGUCUUUCAGACCCGUAUCAAUCCAGGUACAACUCAAUCAUGAACUCUCGGUUCCACAAAUACCACUAUCAAUGUCAAUCCGGACACGACUUUAUGGGUACCAAUACUCAUUCCCUCUCGUUACGGUUGACGAGGCAUAAGAGCUAUUUAGUUCAGUAAUAUUUUACUAUCAAUGUCAAUCCGGACACAUCUGUAUCGAAUCCCAAUCUAUUUCUAUCUUUCAAGAGAGUGAUUCAGGACGCUUCUCGUUCGCUAACCAAGAAGUAAUUACUCUUACACUGUAUUCAAAGGGGAGUCUAAUUCUAACUGAUGUGAAUUUAGAUAUCU